UGAGGGGGGCUGCUCCUAGUACGAGAGGACCGGAGUGGACGCAUCACUGGUGUUCGGGUUGUCAUGCCAAUGGCACUGCCCGGUAGCUAAAUGCGGAAGAGAUAAGUGCUGAAAGCAUCUAAGCACGAAACUUGCCCCGAGAUGAGUUCUCCCUGACUCCUUGAGAGUCCUGAAGGAACGUUGAAGACGAGGACGUUGAUAGGCCGGGUGUGUAAGCGCAGCGAUGCGUUGAGCUAACCGGUACUAAUGAACCGUGAGGCUUAACCUUACAACGCCGAAG
rnacentral:rRNA from 1 species